GACGAACGCUGGCGGCGUGCUUAACACAUGCAAGUCGAACGGAAAGGCCCUGCUUGUGUGGUGUGCUCGAGUGGCGAACGGGUGAGUAACACGUGAGUAACCUGCUCUUGACUUUGGGAUAACUUCAGGAAACUGGGGCUAAUACCGGAUAGGAGCUCCUGUUGCAUGGUGGGGGUUGGAUCGUCUCGGCGGUUGGGGAUGGACUCGCGGCUUAUGAGCUUGUUGGUGGGGUAGUGGCUGACCCAGGCAUUGACGGGUAGCCGGCCUGGGAGGGGGACCGGCCACAAUGGGACUGAGAUACGGCGCAGACUCCUACGGGAGGCAGCAGUGGGGAAUAUGGCACAAUGGGCGGAAGUCGGAUGCAGCGACGCCGCGUGCGGGAUGACGGCCUGCGGGUUGUAAACCGCUUUCGCCUGUGACGAAGCGGGAGUGACGGUAAUGGGUAAAGAAGCACCGGCUAACUACGUG
rnacentral:rRNA from 1 species